rnacentral:rRNA from 1 species
AACGAACGCUGGCGGCGUGGAUUAGGCAUGCAAGUCGAACGAGAACACCUCUUCGGAGGUUAGUAAAGUGGCGAAAGGGUGAGUAAUUCGUGAUCAACCUACCCCCAAGACGGGGAUAACUGUCCGAAAGGGCAGCUAAUACCCGAUAUGGCGAGCGCACCGCAUGGUGUGCACGUUAAAAGUGGGGACCUUCGGGCCUUCUGCUUGGGGAGGGGAUCACGUCCUAUUAGCUUGUUGGUGAGGUAACGGCUCACCAAGGCGACGAUGGGUAGCCGGCCUGAGAGGGUGGUCGGCCACACUGGGACUGAGACACUGCCCAG